rnacentral:misc_RNA from 1 species
GAUGAAGAACGUAGCGAAAUGCGAUAAGUAGUGUGAAUUGCAGAAUUCAGUGAAUCAUCGAAUCUUUGAACGCACAUUGCGCCCCUUGGUAUUCCAUGGGGCAUGCCUGUUCGAGCGUCAUUUGUACCUUCAAGCUCUGCUUGGUGUUGGGUGUUUGUCUCGCCUUGCGCGUAGACUCGCCUUAAAACAAUUGGCAGCCGGCGUAUUGAUUUCGGAGCGCAGUACAUCUCGCGCUUUGCACUCAUAACGACGACGUCCAAAAGUACUUUUUACACUCUUGACCUCGGAUCAGGUAGGGAUACCCGCUGAACUUUAGAAUAUCAAUAAGCGGAGGA